AUCCUUCGCCGUUCGUCAUCCGUUUCCAAAAAACGGAGGGUACUGCGUGGAUCAGAAGAGAAAACUCUACACUUUUAGUGGAUCGGAUCGUCAUUUCGGAGAGUUUCGGGUUUUCCCAAGAAUCGAGGUUUUCGGGAUCUCGGGUUGUCGUUUUGGACCGUUUUCGUACGAAGUUUCAUUUCGAAUAUAAGGUCCGUCCGUGCGUCGGUCCCUGUAGAUAAAGGGACUAGGGUGGUUAUUUUGGUUAGCUUACGUAAGCAUCUAAAUUUUGUAUUAAACUUGAUGAAAGUCCUUUUUGGAGGGUUGUAAUAUGACGAUUACUCUAAGUCCAAAUGUAUGUAAAUUAUGGACGUAUUAGUGAACUCUGGUAUAAGGCUAGUAGUAAUCCCAAUGGAUGUUUAUGUUUUUCCGCGACAUUUACAUCAUGAUUAUGUAUUAUUUACACCCGUAUGUCCCUGUUUAGGGCGGGUUGUUUCCA